UAGUACGGCGAGUGAGCGGGAAGAGCUCAAAUUUGAAAUCUGGUGGCCUCAGGUCAUCCGAGUUGUAAUCUAUAGAAGUGUUUUCCGUGCUGGCUCAUGUACAAGUCCCUUGGAACAGGGCGUCAUAGAGGGUGAGAAUCCCGUCCUUGACAUGAACUACCAGUGCUCUGUGAUACAUUUUCAACGAGUCGAGUUGUUUGGGAAUGCAGCUCAAAAUGGGUGGUAAAUUCCAUCUAAAGCUAAAUAUUGGCGAGAGACCGAUAGCGAACAAGUACCGUGAGGGAAAGAUGAAAAGCACUUUGGAAAGAGAGUUAAACAGUAUGUGAAAUUGUUGAAAGGGAAACGAUUGAAGUCAGUCGUGCUCUUUGGAUUCAGCCGGUUCUGCCGGUGUACUUCCUUUGAGUGGGGUCAACAUCAGUUUUGAUCGCUGGAUAAAGGCUGGAGGAACGUAGUACCCUCGGGUAAACUUAUAGCCUCCUGUCACAUACAGUGGUUGGGACUGAGGAACGCAGCACGCCUUUAUGGCCGGGAUUCGUCCACGUACGUGCUUAGGAUGUUGACAUAAUGGCUUUAAACGACCCGUCUU
rnacentral:rRNA from 1 species